GCGUUGCAUACCUUAGUUCUGCAGUUUCUUGCCACUGAUUUCAAAUUCUGUGGUCUCAUCGUAGUGAUUAAUUUUUGUGAAAACAGACCAUGUCCCAGAUGAACUGUUCAUGCAGACUGCAUUUGACAAAGGGUUGCAGAGAUCCUGUUAGUACUUAUUCUUAUCGAUGGGUAAUAUGAGACCUGUAUUCUGUGUGCGUUUUUGUCAAAUUGAUUCAAAAGGUUGUCUCGUAUUUCUUUGUACUAGAAUGACUAAAGAAUGGAUACAACGUGAUGAGACGUGGAAUGUCAGAAGGAUAUGCUAACAAAGAAAAUAAGCAACAUUGAUGAUUUGUCACGACCUAGUGAAAUUUACUGCCAUCGUAGAAGAGACACUGCAACAAUAUUUAACUUAAUUUACACCAAUUGUUGGCGUUGUGAAGAGAGCUGUAGGAUGUAAAGCGAUUUAGGACCUGUUUAUUUCAGCUCUUCUUUACUUUUUUAUGCAAGGAGUAUUUCAGCUCUUCUUAAAUCCUAACCAUAGGCCGUGGAUAUAGAGAAGAAAUUUGGAGGGAGUUAGCUGCCUUCACCAUAGCAGGAAGAGAAUAUUGAUCAUCUCCAUGCCAAUGACAUUAUCAAGAUCCUGGAGCUCUUUUGCCAUUGCCUCAUUUGUAAGGGGAGGUGCUGCCGGAUUUUUGACCAUUUCGUGAGGAUUUCACUCAUUCAAGU